rnacentral:rRNA from 1 species
AUUGAACGCUGGCGGCAGGCCUAACACAUGCAAGUCGAACGAAUGGCGGACGGGUGAGUAAUGUCUGGGAAACUGCCUGAUGGAGGGGGAUAACUACUGGCAACGGUAGCUACUACCGCAUACCAUCAGAUGUGCCCAGAUGGGAUUGGCUAGUUGGUGGGGUAACGGCUCACCAAGGCGACGAUCCCUCGCUGGUCUGAGAGGAUGACCAGCCACACUGGAAAUGAGACACGGUCAAGACUCCUACGGGAGGAAGCAGUGGGGAAUAUUGCACAAUGGGCGCAAGCCUGAUGCAGCAAUGCCGCGUGUAUGAAGAAGGCCUUCGGGUUGUAAAGUACUUUCAGCGGGGAGGCGUUACCCGCAGAAGAAGCACCGGCUAACUCCGUGCCAGCAGCCGCGGUAAUAC